UCCUCUAGGGCUGGCCACUGCGGCUUCAGCUAGGCUUAGCGCCCCACCCACCCAGGAGCUUCCGGUGAGCAGCCUUGACCUAGAGCUCACAGCACCCAGAGCUGUGACCCUCCCACCCACACUCCUGCCCUCCCCACAGACCCAGACCGGAUUAUUCCUCAACACCCGAUAGAAAGGCUCCGGGGCUCUCGGCCAGCAGGAAUUGCCCCCUGCGAUGAUGGCUGAGCACUGUUCUGCGGGUUCUCCUCCCCGUGAUGCUGCUCCCAAGCCGAUUCCCCAGGUCACUUGUAGGCACAGCGGUACCGGGGAAACUACUCAGGCCAGUCACCACGACGACGCAGCAUCUGCCUAGGAAACUACCAGGGACAGUGCCGCCUUCAAAGGGAGAAGAUCAAAAUGCUGUCAUCUUUUAAUUUAAUCCUUUUGUUGCAUGGCUGGUCUUAAGAGGGAUGAGAGAGAUCCAAAUAAAAAUGGAAACAAACUA